rnacentral:lncRNA from 1 species
CUACAAGGGAGAGUGAAUCCAUUGCUUCUCCAUGUUGCUGUGAAGGUGGCUGGAAAGCAUGCAGUAGGACACUAAAGAUUUGGCACUUACUCUCAUUAACUGAUGAAUUUGGAGGACCUAGAAGUGGAAAGCCAGCACUCCCAGGAUAUGAAUCAGAGAAAAAGCAGUGAAGUCUUGUCCCA